rnacentral:snRNA from 1 species
AGAGAAUCGCUUGAAUCCGGAAGGCAGAGGUUGCAGUGAGCCACGAUCGCUCCACUGCACUCCAGCCUGGGUGACAGAG